ensembl:snRNA U1 U1 spliceosomal RNA
AUACUUACCUGGCAGGGGAGAUUCCAUGGUCACGAAGGUGGUUUUCCCAGGGCGAGGUUUAUCCAUGGCACUGUGGAUGUGCCGACCCCUGGGAUUUCCCAGAAGUGGGGAACGGAACUGCAUAAUCUGUGGAAGUGGGGCACUAUAUCCGUCCCCCAG